rnacentral:lncRNA from 1 species
CAGGCAGCAGUGACUGGGGGAUGCAGUGUGUUAUGGGAGGUUGUUCAAAACUGAGGAAACUUGAGAUACGAGACUGCCCGUUCGGAAAUGCUGCACUGCUGUCAGGUUUGGAGAAGUACGAAUCUAUGAGGUCACUUUGGAUGUCGGCCUGCAAUGUGACAAUGAAUGGUUGUAGGCUAUUGGCAAGGGAGAUGCCUAGGUUGAACGUUGAGGUAAUGAAGGAGGAUGGAAGUGAUGAUAGUCAAGCUGAUAAAGUCUAUGUUUACCGUUCGAUUGCUGGCCCACGGAGGGAUGCCCCACCAUCUGUUCUUACCCUCUGAAAUGCUUGGUAAUCUCUCUCUCUAUCUCUCACUCAAACACACACAUGCUGGCAUGCCCUCACAGGGUCC